ACGAACCCGACAAUUAUUUUGUUACCGAGUACUUCCUUUGGGUAUUUUGGUCAUUUAUAAUUCUGCAUUAAGAAAUUAAACACCUUACUUAAUUUAUAUUAUAUUUAAAUACCUUAAAAAUAUAUGAAAUUUAGAAUUCAACACUAGUUAAUGGAUUCCGUUAGAAAAAACGACGGUGGGGCCCACACUUGCAUAUUAAUCCAACUUUAGAGUUUAAUCUAAUCCUUCCACGGUAUUUUUUUUUUCAUUGUUUUCUUCCCCCUGCUCCCUUCUUUAUUUUCGUUGUUUUGCUUCCUCCUCCACUCUACCCAGUCUCAAUAUCUCAAAAAAAAAAUUGCCUAUAACUUCUUGACAUUUAUAGAAGGAUUAAGUUUCUGCAACUUACUAUUAAUCACGAGGAGAAAGCGAAUGAUCAAGCUACAAUCAGGGAAUAUGCAAUUUAUAAGUGCUCACAAGUCCUUUUCAAGAAUAAGCUAGUUGAAGGCAUUGUUGGGAAUUUCUUCGUGUUUGCUUUUGAAAAUCGUGCCUAGAAUGGUCUGCGCUUGGAUACCAUUGACGGAAUUUCCUCCAGUCAGCACGAUUCAUCCUGAAGCAUACAGAAACCAAAGAAGCUCAAUCUCCGAGGACCAUAUUAGAGAAAAACUAGAUGGGUUACUAUAGACGAGGCAAUCAAGAGUAAUAGGCUAUUCAUACUAGACACCAUGAUACAAUGAUGCCAUUUAUAAGAAAAAUUAACACGAACACUCCUUCAAAAGUUUAUGACACCAGGACAAUCCUCUUCUUAAAAGAUGAUGGUACAUUGACGCCAUUGGCAAUUGAGUUAAGCCUACCACAUCCAGAGGGGGAUGAAUUUGGUGUUAUUAGCGUAGUAUACAGACCAGCUGAAGAAGGUGUUGAAAGCUCCCUUUGGCAGUUGGCUAAAGCUUAUGUGGUUGUUUCUAACUCGGGUUACCAUCAGCUUAUCAAUCACUGGUACUAGAUUAUCCUGUUAGAGCUUUUUUUAGCUUACAGUCUAGCUGAUAGUCAUGUUUCAAGCUCUGGCUUGUGGUGGGAAUUUUAAUUUUCUUUUUGACAGGUUACACACACACACGCAGUCAUGGAACCAUUUUUUAUAGCAACACAUAGACAGAUGAGUUUGCUUCACCCAGUUUACAAACAUCUGCAUCCUCACUAUAUAUCAUGAUACCAUGAACAUAAAUUCCAUAGCACGUCAGACUGCUCUUACUCCUAAGGGGUUGUUUGAAGAAGUUGUCUUUCCCAGAACUUAUGCUGUAGAGUGGACAUCCAUACUGUACAAAACCUGGGUAGGUUCGACUGGUUGUUACUAAAUAAAAAGUACUACUAUAAUAGUUUGGUUGUUACUCAAAAAAAGUACUACUAUAAUAGUUUCUGAAAGCCUAUUAGCUCAAAUGGUAGAGCAAUGUGCGAUUGCACAUAGAUGUAGGUUCGACUCCUACAUAGGUUGUAAUUAGAGUAUUGGAUACGGUAAAAGAAAAAGCUAUCGUGUCGCCACGACGUAACUAACAAAGUCAACAUGAGUAAAAAAAUGGUUAGUUGCUUUGGCUAUUGUUACUUGGCAGGUCUUUUUGUGUUCAGCUACAAACUCCUACGACGGCUAAUAUUAAUAGACCCUGGUUCGUGAUCGCCUGUUAAGAAUAAGCAGAGGCUCCUCCAUAUGACGACAAUCUCCCAUUGCCUAGACUCUAG